rnacentral:rRNA from 1 species
UAGGGAAUCUUCCACAAUGGACGCAAGUCUGAUGGAGCAACGCCGCGUGAGUGAAGAAGGUUUUCGGACCGUAAAGCUCUGUUGUUGGUGAAGAAGGAUAGAGGUAGUAACUGGCCUUUAUUUGACGGUAAUCAACCAGAAAGUCACGGCUAACUACGUGCCAGCAGCCGCGGUAAUACGUAGGUGGCAAGCGUUGUCCGGAUUUAUUGGGCGUAAAGCGAGCGCAGGCGGAAGAAUAAGUCUGAUGUGAAAGCCCUCGGCUUAACCGAGGAAUUGCAUCGGAAACUGUUUUCUUGAGUGCAGAAGAGGAGAGUAGAACUCCAUGUGUAGCGGUGGAAUGCGUAGAUAUAUGGAAGAAUACCAGUGGCGAAGGCGGCUCUCUGGUCUGCAACUGACGCUGAGGCUCGGAAAGCAUGGGUAGCGAACAGGGAUUAGAUACCCUGGUAGUCCAUGCCGUAAACGAUGAGUGCUAAGUGUUGGGAGGCUUCCGCCUCUCAGUGCUGCAGCUAACGCAUUAAGCACUCCGCCUGGGGGAGUACGACCGCAAGGUUGA